UGUGAGCUCGAUGAGUAGGGCGGGACACGUGGUAUCCUGUCUGAAUAUGGGGGGACCAUCCUCCAAGGCUAAAUACUCCUGACUGACCGAUAGUGAACCAGUACCGUGAGGGAAAGGCGAAAAGAACCCCGGCGAGGGGAGUGAAAAAGAACCUGAAACCGUGUACGUACAAGCAGUGGGAGCACGCUUAGGCGUGUGACUGCGUACCUUUUGUAUAAUGGGUCAGCGACUUAUAUUCUGUAGCAAGGUUAACCGAAUAGGGGAGCCGAAGGGAAACCGAGUCUUAACUGGGCGUUAAGUUGCAGGGUAUAGACCCGAAACCCGGUGAUCUAGCCAUGGGCAGGUUGAAGGUUGGGUAACACUAACUGGAGGACCGAACCGACUAAUGUUGAAAAAUUAGCGGAUGACUUGUGGCUGGGGGUGAAAGGCCAAUCAAACCGGGAGAUAGCUGGUUCUCCCCGAAAGCUAUUUAGGUAGCGCCUCGUGAAUUCAUCUCCGGGGGUAGAGCACUGUUUCGGCAAGGGGGUCAUCCCGACUUACCAACCCGAUGCAAACUGCGAAUACCGGAGAAUGUUAUCACGGGAGACACACGGCGGGUGCUAACGUCCGUCGUGAAGAGGGAAACAACCCAGACCGCCAGCUAAGGUCCCAAAGUCAUGGUUAAGUGGGAAACGAUGUGGGAAGGCCCAGACAGCCAGGAUGUUGGCUUAGAAGCAGCCAUCAUUUAAAGAAAGCGUAAUAGCUCACUGGUCGAGUCGGCCUGCGCGGAAGAUGUAACGGGGCUAAACCAUGCACCGAAGCUGCGGCAGCGACGCUUAUGCGUUGUUGGGUAGGGGAGCGUUCUGUAAGCCUGCGAAGGUGUGCUGUGAGGCAUGCUGGAGGUAUCAGAAGUGCGAAUGCUGACAUAAGUAACGAUAAAGCGGGUGAAAAGCCCGCUCGCCGGAAGACCAAGGGUUCCUGUCCAACGUUAAUCGGGGCAGGGUGAGUCGACCCCUAAGGCGAGGCCGAAAGGCGUAGUCGAUGGGAAACAGGUUAAUAUUCCUGUACUUGGUGUUACUGCGAAGGGGGGACGGAGAAGGCUAUGUUGGCCGGGCGACGGUUGUCCCGGUUUAAGCGUGUAGGCUGGUUUUCCAGGCAAAUCCGGAAAAUCAAGGCUGAGGCGUGAUGACGAGGCACUACGGUGCUGAAGCAACAAAUGCCCUGCUUCCAGGAAAAGCCUCUAAGCAUCAGGUAACAUCAAAUCGUACCCCAAACCGACACAGGUGGUCAGGUAGAGAAUACCAAGGCGCUUGAGAGAACUCGGGUGAAGGAACUAGGCAAAAUGGUGCCGUAACUUCGGGAGAAGGCACGCUGAUAUGUAGGUGAGGUCCCUCGCGGAUGGAGCUGAAAUCAGUCGAAGAUACCAGCUGGCUGCAACUGUUUAUUAAAAACACAGCACUGUGCAAACACGAAAGUGGACGUAUACGGUGUGACGCCUGCCCGGUGCCGGAAGGUUAAUUGAUGGGGUCAGCGCAAGCGAAGCUCUUGAUCGAAGCCCCGGUAAACGGCGGCCGUAACUAUAACGGUCCUAAGGUAGCGAAAUUCCUUGUCGGGUAAGUUCCGACCUGCACGAAUGGCGUAAUGAUGGCCAGGCUGUCUCCACCCGAGACUCAGUGAAAUUGAACUCGCUGUGAAGAUGCAGUGUACCCGCGGCAAGACGGAAAGACCCCGUGAACCUUUACUAUAGCUUGACACUGAACAUUGAGCCUUGAUGUGUAGGAUAGGUGGGAGGCUUAGAAGUGUGGACGCCAGUCUGCAUGGAGCCGACCUUGAAAUACCACCCUUUAAUGUUUGAUGUUCUAACGUUGACCCGUAAUCCGGGUUGCGGACAGUGUCUGGUGGGUAGUUUGACUGGGGCGGUCUCCUCCUAAAGAGUAACGGAGGAGCACGAAGGUUGGCUAAUCCUGGUCGGACAUCAGGAGGUUAGUGCAAUGGCAUAAGCCAGCUUGACUGCGAGCGUGACGGCGCGAGCAGGUGCGAAAGCAGGUCAUAGUGAUCCGGUGGUUCUGAAUGGAAGGGCCAUCGCUCAACGGAUAAAAGGUACUCCGGGGAUAACAGGCUGAUACCGCCCAAGAGUUCAUAUCGACGGCGGUGUUUGGCACCUCGAUGUCGGCUCAUCACAUCCUGGGGCUGAAGUAGGUCCCAAGGGUAUGGCUGUUCGCCAUUUAAAGUGGUACGCGAGCUGGGUUUAGAACGUCGUGAGACAGUUCGGUCCCUAUCUGCCGUGGGCGCUGGAGAACUGAGGGGGGCUGCUCCUAGUACGAGAGGACCGGAGUGGACGCAUCACUGGUGUUCGGGUUGUCAUGCCAAUGGCACUGCCCGGUAGCUAAAUGCGGAAGAGAUAAGUGCUGAAAGCAUCUAAGCACGAAACUUGCCCCGAGAUGAGUUCUCCCUGACCCUUUAAGGGUCCUGAAGGAACGUUGAAGACGACGACGUUGAUAGGCCGGGUGUGUAAGCGCAGCGAUGCGUUGAGCUAACCGGUACUAAUGAACCGUGAGGCUUAACCUUACAACGCCGAAG
rnacentral:rRNA from 1 species